rnacentral:ncRNA from 21 species
UGACGCACCCGUGGCGUCGGCAUCGAGCGAAGCACAUGCGUCGCGAGAGGGAACCCGGUGAGAAUCCGGGACUGUCCCGCAGCGGUAUGCAGGAACGACCGCCGUCUUAGAAGUUAACAAGCACUGGCCCCGAGGGGCUGGGAAGCGACGGCCACUAGGAGCGCCCCCCGGGCGCGGGCCUGCGAGUCCGAAGACCUGCCAGCUGUGCCGGGCGCGCC